rnacentral:rRNA from 1 species
CCCCAAUGUAUUUUGUAAAGUUGUUCUAGUUUUGUAACUAAAAUGGUUUGGCAGUGACCGAUUCCUAUUAGGGGAAUAUGCAUAGUGAAGGAUGGUCCACCUAUUAGUUUACUCUUUUUAUGUUGGUGUAUGUCUGGUUUGAUAUUAUUGUUGAAUAAUUUAAGUUUGUGUAGUUUUAGUUAAGCUAAGUCUAUGUGCUGCUUAUUGGAGCUUUGUAGCGUGACAUGUAAGCUAACGGUAAUG